UGGGUACUGAAACACACAGCAAGCAGGCUGUGUAGCCCAGUAUCUACACCAUGCAGACAUCACACUGUUGGUAACCUGCUGCUGCCACAACAAGCCGUCGCCCGGUGUAUUUAAAACGAGGCAUGCGCAAAUAUGCAAUUGUGGAGACCAGUGAAAUGACUAUAUAACACGGUUGGUUCCCCAAACUGGCGUCCCUCUACUGAAUCUAGUUGAUGAUCCCUGCCUUCAGUCCUGCUGAUUUGAAUAGUAUCAAGCCCGUGAUCAGAGCAACAGACGGCUCUCUGGAGAUCUCAUUUUCAUCUUCUUCAGUCCUCUAUGUGAGACAAGCAGGAUGGGUUGUUCCACGAGUACCCAGACGACAGCGCAGGACACCACCAGACAGCCCAGCUCUAAACCCGAGGAAAGCAAUGGAACCAGCACUACAGUGAUCGUAGCAGCCACAGGAGAGGAGGCCCAGCCUGCUCCGGCUGCAGCCCAAGCCGAGCCUCCUGCAGACACCACAGACCCGUCCCCAGCCCCUGCAGAGGAGGCCCCGGCUCAGAGUGAGACCCAGCCUGCAGCCGAUGCUCCUGCAGCAGCCACUUCUCCCGAGCAGCCAGCCAGCUCUCCAGAGCCUCCUCCUGCAGCCCAGGACCCAGCUGAGGCCGCAGCAGAGGCCGAUGCAGCUGCAACCAGCCCCUAGUCAGGGAAAUGAAGCCGGUCUUCCCAUUAUUGUGGAUGAAGAAUCUGCAUGAAUGUCCUAAUUCGAAAGCGAAGGAGGAUGACACCACUUGCCUGUUGCCAAGCUGCAGACCAGCUGAUCCCUGUGACCAGGAUCAAUCGGUCAUCACUGUGCCUUUUUCCUCUGUAAAUACUCUUUUUCCUGUGCAUUUAGUUGUGUUAUUAGCAUUGUUUAUAAAACAUUCAUUAGAUAAUUGCUUCGAAGUAACUUAUAAAUGCUUAUUAACUUUUGCUUGAAUCUAAAAUCUACAUUUCUGGUGACUAGAGUUCGUAUUACAGCCUUGUAACGAUGUGGGAUCAAGUAUGUGAGAUCAAGUAUGUGGGAUCAAGUGUUAAGUGACCAACACUAAUUUGUCAGAAUAAUUCAUUCAGGAACAACUUGAAUCCAUUUACUCACACAUAUUUCAGAAAUGAAGCCAACAACUAUUAGACAUUUACAUGAUGUUGUUUUUACAGCUGGCUUGACCUGUACAACCAUAUUAUAACCAUGUUACAACCAUGUUAUAACCAUGUUAAACCAUGUUAUAACCAUGUUAAACCAUGUUAUAAGGGUAUAUAAUAUGACCAUGUUGGCCAUGUUAUAACCAUGUUAUAACCAUGUUAAACCAUGUUAUAAGGGUAUAUAAUAUGACCAUGUUGGCCAUGUUACAACCAUGUUAUAACCAUGUUAUAACCAUGUUAUAAGGGUAUAUAAUAUGACCAUGUUGGCCAUGUUAUAACGGUUUGAAUAAAACAGUUACUGAACUCAAGACAUUCACUGACGUUGCUUUUUUAAAAGACAAGUUGCUUGUUUCAGCAUCAUCCUUUGUAUGAGGAAACGUAUUUAUGUCAGUUAGACAGUAUCUCAUCCACGCUGUUAGAUUACAUCAUAGAGACGAUGGAACAGAGCCCAUGAAGAGAAAAAGGUAGCAGAAAAGGUAUAGUAAAUCUCUGUGUUUUCUUGGAGUUGAAAGUUACAUUUUGGUUUGUUUGACAGUUGACCAAAAAAA
ensembl:lncRNA predicted GPI-anchored protein 58